rnacentral:snRNA from 1 species
ACGGUCCAGAUCCGUGGACAGC